CCAAUUGCUCUAGCCAACCAGCAACCUCAACACUGAUUUGAUUUCCAGUGGCCACAAUCAGGAGUUGUAGUAUUUGGUAAGCAAAACUCGCGCUCACUAUAUCUAAGAGCCGAGGUUGGAGAAAAUGGGUCAAUUGAUUUAGGGGUCUUGGAUCGUAUAGGAUUGCCUACAAAGGUUUGGGUUUGCAAAUUUAUGGACAUGGUUGUUGAAAAUCUAGUGAAGUUACAAAGAGUUUUGAUUAAAGUGAUAGUUUCUGGGAGUGAUUGAGUUUAAACGGGACAACGGCUUUUUUAAUAAUAAAGUCAGCACCAUUGGAUCCAAAUUCAAACAGUGGUUAGUUGGUGAUUAUUGACUAAGGAUUAAGGAAGCUUCGCAUAACGACAUGUGUUUUUGAUUCUGUUAUUUACACCAUAGCCAAGAAACGGCUUGAAGCCACUGUACAGGACAGGGGAGUUUGUAGAUAUGGUUUACUGUAAGUAUUUGUAUCCUUAUGAAAAUUCAUCUCUUUUCUUUAUAAAUAAAGUGCUUCAUUUGAGCCUUUUAUUUUUGCACAAAGAAUUGAAUUGUUACAACUAUUUGCUUUGGGAGAAAUUAAUAAUGGAAUAUGACGCUUGACCAUCUCAUUUUUUAUGUCAUCUUUGUAUUUGCGUGACAAUUUUUUUGAAAGGCUUAAAGAAUUUUGCAAUUUCGCAAUAUAUAUUUUUUUAUGAAAAAAAAUUCUCAUUUAUGUAAUUGCUUUGUGAAUUCUCAUUAAUGGUUGUUAAUUUUCUUUAUUGACUGGUAUAUGUUUUCUUAUAUUUGAUUAUGUUCUUUGAUGUGGCUUUUUGCUUAAUUUGGGAUUUCAUAAAUAUGGCUAGUUUGAUUGUAUGUAAAUGAAAUUUAAAUUUUAUUUAUGCAUCAUGAAUGCCAUUGUUGUAGAAUUUUAAUUUUUGUGGAAUCAAUUGAGCAUAUUAAAAAAAGGUUUUGGACAUUCUAUUUUUUACUUUAAUUCUGUCCAAAAGUAAGGUUUUUAUUUGGCGUUUGUAUAUUGCAUGUAGUGGGCACCUUCAUAGGAGCCAUGACUGGAGCUUUAAUUGGAUAGAAAAUUGAGAGUGGAUUUUUGUUCGAGAGACUGUAGUUGGAGCUAAUUUUCUAUUGAAGUAUUUGAAUCUUCAAUUGAAUUGUGAGAUCAAACAUCUCUUGUAUUUGGUGAGCCAUAUAGCCUUAAUAAUAUUGCGAGAAUAUUUAUUUAUGUGGACCACCUUCUAGUGUCUUGUUAAGAUUGGCAGCUUGUCAAGUUUCUUAGGUGCAUAAAUUUCAUGUGAUUUCUUUCAAGCAUGAACAAGAGAGAAGAGAAAGGAGGUAAAAGAAAAUAUAAGCUGAAAAGAAAGUAAUAGCUGAGAAAUUAGAGAAGACAAAAGUUUUAUUUAAACUUUCUCUUUUUCUAUUUAAUUUCAUUAUUAUCUAGUUUGUUGCAUGCACCUGAUUUCAAUUAUUAUGGCCAACGGAUACUUGUGAAAUUUCAAGUACAGAUAAGUAACAGAGAAAUAUAUUGGCUUAAAGAAUAACAUAUAAUUUGCUAUUAUAGUAUUUGUAAGGUUGUACUUUUUGGUUACAAAUUAAUUAUUUGUUAUUUUAAUUUUCACUUGAAAAAAUUUCUUCGUAUAUAAUGUUAUUCAUGUCAAAAUAUGUAUUGUAGGAUAACUUUGAGGCCAAUGUCUAUAAUCUACAAGCCUGGAAGCAUUUGAAGAAGACAAUGAAAGACAAUUUCAAAUCAAUUUUCAUGACAACUAGAAACGGUAUUUAAAUUCAUCAAUAAUUACCAAGGAC
rnacentral:lncRNA from 1 species